GUAACUUGCUAACUUGCUAGCUACUUCCAGACAUCUAAGUGAGAGAGAACAGCUCACUGAACAUUUUGAACUGUCAUCCAACUCGGAAUUGCGAGUCAGGAACUCAGGCCUCUUUCUAGAGCUCCGAUCUGAAGAUCACUGACGUCAUCAUGAUUCUACCUUGUUUUUUCUGAGUUCCCAGUUGUCUUAAAAACAACAAAUACAGGAGAAUGCCACUUUGAUGACACAUUUUCAUGACAGAAUUUACCCAUGAAGGACUGCCGCACCACCUUCCUGUUCAAGUGAGCACAGCACAACAAGGUAGAAAUACAGAGAAAAAAUGGGAAAUGCUUUAAGGACGACUGAGGAAUCCAACUGGGCUGUCAUGAGACUAGAGGCAGCUUCCUAAAGGAGGAAUCUAACUGGGGAGUCAUGUGACUAGAGGCAGCUUCCUAAAGGAGGAUUCUAACUGGGCUGUCAUGUGACUAGAGGCAGCAUCCUAAAGGAGGAGUCCAACUGGGGAGUCAUGUGACUAGAGGCAGCUUCCUAAAGGAGGAAUCCAACUGGGCAGUCAUGUGAGACUAGAGGCAGCUUCCUAAAUUGCACUCUAUUCCCUAUAUAGUGCACUUCCUUUGACCAGGGUCAAUAGGGUAAAAAGUAAUGCACUAUGUAUGGAAUAGGAUGCCAUGGGACAUAGCCUGCAUGCAGGUCAGAGA
rnacentral:lncRNA from 1 species